CCCUUAGAGUUUGAUCCUGGCUCAGAUUGAACGCUGGCGGCAGGCUUAACACAUGCAAGUCGAACGGUAACAUAAAGAAGCUUGCUUCUUUGAUGACGAGUGGCGGACGGGUGAGUAAUGCUUGGGAAUCUAGCUUAUGGAGGGGGAUAACUACGGGAAACUGUAGCUAAUACCGCGUAGAAUCGAGAGAUGAAAGUGUGGGACCUUCGGGCCACAUGCCAUAGGAUGAGCCCAAGUGGGAUUAGGUAGUUGGUGAGGUAAAGGCUCACCAAGCCGACGAUCUCUAGCUGGUCUGAGAGGAUGACCAGCCACACUGGGACUGAGACACGGCCCAGACUCCUACGGGAGGCAGCAGUGGGGAAUAUUGCGCAAUGGGGGCAACCCUGACGCAGCCAUGCCGCGUGAAUGAAGAAGGCCUUCGGGUUGUAAAGUUCUUUCGGUAGCGAGGAAGGCAUUUAGUUUAAUAGACUAGGUGAUAGACGUAACUNAGAAGAAGCCCGGCU
rnacentral:rRNA from 1 species